rnacentral:rRNA from 1 species
CGGCACGGGUGAGUAACACGUAUCCAACCUGCCGUCUACUCUUGGACAGCCUUCUGAAAGGAAGAUUAAUACAAGAUGGCAUCAUGAGUUCACAUGUUCACAUGAUUAAAGGUAUUCCGGUAGACGAUGGGGAUGCGUUCCAUUAGAUAGUAGGCGGGGUAACGGCCCACCUAGUCUUCGAUGGAUAGGGGUUCUGGGAGGAAGGCCCCCACAUUGGAACUGAGACACGGUCCAA